rnacentral:rRNA from 1 species
UACUAGAGUAGCACUCGCAUAUCAAUAAGCGGAGGAAAAGAAACUAACAAGGAUUCCCCUAGUAACGGCGAGUGAAGCGGGAAGAGCUCAAAUUUGAAAUCUUAAAGGGUUUCCCUUUACGAAUUGUAGUUUAAAGAAGUGUUUUCUGUUGAGGUUUUGGUAAAAGUUCUUUGGAAUAGGACAUCAUAGAGGGUGAGAAUCCCGUAUUUGACCUUUACUUUCAACUUUGUGAUACACUUUCAAAGAGUCGGAUUGUUUGGGAAUGCAGUCCAAAAUGGGUGGUAAAUUUCAUCUAAAGCUAAAUAUUGGCGAGAGACCGAUAGCGAACAAGUACCGUGAGGGAAAGAUGAAAAGAACUUUGAAAAGAGAGUUAAACAGUACGUGAAAUUGUCAAAAGGGAAGCGUUUGACACCAGUGUUGUUUUUUCUGAAAAUCAAUUAAAGAACUGUUUAUGCUAAGUCUGUUUAGACUUUAUCAGCUAACUGUUUAGUUUUGAGCUUUUCUUUAAUGCACUUUUCAGUUAACAAGUCAACAUCAAUUUCUUUUGCUGUAAAAAAGCUUGAGGAAGGUGGCUUGAGAUUCGUCUUAAGUGUUUUAUAGCCUCUUGCCUAUGCAGUCGGAGAGAUUGAGGUCUGCAGCGUAGAUCCUUCGGGGCUAAAUGCAUUUGUGCUAAGUUAUAGCAUUUUAUAGACAACUUGUUGACUAUGAUUUGUCUUGUAGCUUACUCGCUUAUGUUAUUUUACCUACGCUUAGGAUGUUGAGCGCAUGUCUCUCUCU